CAGUAGCCACGGGAAUACGAAGGGGGCUAGCGUUGUUCGGAUUUACUGGGCGUAAAGGGCGCGUAGGCGGACUGAUAAGUCAGGGGUGAAAUCCCAAGGCUCAACCUUGGAACUGCCUUUGAUACUGUUUGUCUUGAGUUCGAGAGAGGUAAGUGGAACUGCGAGUGUAGAGGUGAAAUUCGUAGAUAUUCGCAAGAACACCAGUGGCGAAGGCGGCUUACUGGCUCGAAACUGACGCUGAGGCGCGAAAGCGUGGGGAGCAAACAGGAUUAGAUACCCGGGUAGUCCCUGUCUCUUAUAC
rnacentral:rRNA from 1 species